UGCUGGCGUGGAUGNAUGUUUGUCCAGUGU
rnacentral:piRNA from 1 species